rnacentral:rRNA from 1 species
GGCGUGGGUGUGUGAGGUGGCGCGGUGGUGGGUAGGGUGCGAGGGUUGUCGUGAAGUAUUGGGCGUGAAGGGCUGGUAGGCGGGUUGUCGCGGCGGGAGGGAAAGCCCGUGUCUUAACUGUGGGUCGGCUUUCGAUACGGGCAGGCGUGAGGCAUUCAGGGGAGAACGGAAUUUCUGGUGUAGCGGUGAAAUGCGCAGAUAUCAGGAGGAACACCGGUGGCGAAGGCGGUUCUCUGGGAGUGUUCUGACGCUGAGGAGCGAAAGUGUGGGGAGCGAACAGGAUUAGAUACCCCAGUAGUC